AGAACGAACGCUGGCGGCAUGCCUAACACAUGCAAGUCGAACGCUCUUGGGGCUUCGGUUCCAAGGGAGUGGCGCACGGGUGAGUAGCGCGUGGGAACCUGCCCUGGAGUGGGGGAUAACCGAGGGAAACUUCGGCUAAUACCGCAUGCGCCCGGGAAACCGGGGAAAGAUUUAUCGCUCUAGGAGGGGCCCGCGUCGGAUUAGCUAGUUGGUGGGGUAACGGCCUACCAAGGCUUUGAUCCGUAGCUGGUCUGAGAGGAUGAUCAGCCUCAUUGGGACUGAGACACGGCCCAAACUCCUACGGGAGGCAGCAGUGGGGAAUAUUGGACAAUGGGCGCAAGCCUGAUCCAGCCAUGCCGCGUGGGUGAUGAAGGCCCUAGGGUUGUAAAGCCCUUUCGGCGGGGAAGAUAAUGACGGUACCCGCAGAAGAAGCCCCGGCUAACUUCGUGCCAGCAGCCGC
rnacentral:rRNA from 1 species